rnacentral:tRNA from 1 species
UGGGCUGAAGCUUGCUUGGUAGAGCACCUGCCUCCCAUGCAGGCGGCCUAGGAUUCAAUUCCUGGCACUGCAU